rnacentral:rRNA from 1 species
UACGUAGGGUGCAAGCGUUAUCCGGAAUUAUUGGGCGUAAAGAGCUCGUAGGCGGUCUGUCGCGUCUGCUGUGAAAUCUGGGGCUCAACCCCCAGCCUGCAGUGGGUACGGGCAGACUAGAGUGCGGUAGGGAGAUUGGAACUCCUGGUGUAGCGGUGGAAUGCGCAGAUAUCAGGAAGAACACCGAUGGCGAAGGCAGAUCUCUGGGCCGU